AAAUGCGAUAAGUAAUGUGAAUUGCAGAAUUCAGUGAAUCAUCGAAUCUUUGAACGCACCUUGCGCUCCUUGGUAUUCCUUGGAGCAUGCCUGUUUGAGUAUCAUGAAAUCUUCAAAGUAAAUCUUUUGUUAACUCAAUUGGUUUCUACUUUGGUAUUGGAGGUCUUUGCAGCUUCACACCUGCUCCUCUUUGUUCAUUAGCUGGAUCUCAGUGUUAUGCUUGGUUCCACUCGGCGUGAUAAGUUAUCUAUCGCUGAGGACACUGUAAAAGGUGGCCAAGGUAAAUGCAGAUGAACCUCUUCUAAUAGUCCAUUGACUUGGACAAUACUUUUAUGAUCUGAUCUCAAAUCAGGUAGGACUACCCGCUGAACUUAAGC
rnacentral:misc_RNA from 1 species